rnacentral:rRNA from 1 species
ACUCCUACGGGAGGCAGCAGUGGGGAAUAUUGCACAAUGGGCGAAAGCCUGAUGCAGCAACGCCGCGUGAGGGAUGACGGCCUUCGGGUUGUAAACCUCUUUUAGCAGGGAAGAAGCGAAAGUGACGGUACCUGCAGAAAAAGCGCCGGCUAACUACGUGCCAGC